rnacentral:rRNA from 1 species
AUGGUUGCAAAAUCCUCUAGCCAUUUUCUCAAGAUCAUCAUGUGCAACAGUUUGCUUCACGGUUGCAGUGCUCGUAAAGAAAAGGAGAGGGAUCACAGCGAGAUGGCGCAAGCACCAUGGCCAGAGCAUUUCGCCGGCGCCGAAGGGGGGCAGGGGGGAGGAGGAAAUGGUGCUUCACUUACCCUCCGCAUGCUGUGGAUGAGCCUCUCGUCCUCGGUCAUGAGCUUCUUUCGGAGCUUGACCGCGCGGCGCAGCUCCUUCUGCGUGCGGCCGGUCUCCCUCCCCAUCCGCUUCUCCACCUUGCUCCGCAUGCUCCUCCCCUUGCUCGUCGACAUCAACCGCCGGCAUACCCCACCGCCGUCCGUGCUCGCCGGCACUAACGCGGCUGAUAUUGAGGCCGCAGCCGCCUCGCCCCCUCGCCCCCUCGCCGCGAAGUCCUCGGAGCUAAUCGACGGGGCGCACCUCCGGUGGAGCGACGAAGAGGCUGCCUUCGGGAGGUUCCGGCGGAGGCUUCUCAGAGCCCACAUGGCUCGGUCGACCGCGUCGCCUGGCCGCCGGUGGUUCUGGAAGGCGGCGGCGGCGGCAGCGAGGUAG